rnacentral:rRNA from 1 species
CGCUGUUAGAUAGCCAUGCACGUCUAGUACAAACUAAAUGAUGGUGAAACUGCAAAUGGCUCAUUACAACGGUUAUGAUGUACCCGGGAGUUCCGAUGGAUAUUUCCAGUAACACUAGAACUAAUACAUGUCCCUGCGUUUAUUAGUUUCGCACAGUCCGUCGCUGAGUCAUGGUAAACAGUUGAUCGACUCGACGUCCCGGAACAGUUUCCGCCCCAUCAGCUUCGAUGGUUGGGUAUUGGCCUACCAUUGCAACAACGGGUAACGAGGAAUUAGGGUUUGAUUUCGGAGAGGGAGCCUGAGAAACGGCUACCACAUCUACGGAUGGCAGCAGGCGCGCAAAUUACCCAAUGCAGACACUGUGAGGUAGUGACGAGAAAUAAUAAAGCGGGACUUCUGUUUCGCUAUUAUAAUGAGGAAUAACCAAAAGGUCAUUCCGAUUAGCAACUGAUGGGAAAGUCUGGUGCCAGCAGCCGCGGUAAUACCAGCGUCAGUAGCAU